rnacentral:misc_RNA from 1 species
GGAGAAUAGGAAGGUCGACUGACAAAAACUGUGUACUACAGCUGGGAAAAUGUUGGGUAAAGCCUAAAGGAAUACUGGAAAAAGUCAGAUUCUUCAUGUGGGGUUUAGCCUUUGGAAGUAGUAACGUGGGUGGCAGCAGUACUUCAAAGGGCGAACUCCAAAUCUUCAAAUUUCAUCCACUUGCAGCUUUCUUUGUUGUAAAGGGGAAGAAACUCGAGUUCAUACACUUGUUCAGUGCAACUCUACCGAAAAGUCAUGGAUCACGG